CAAGUGUUUAAUUAAUUGUCAUGUACCCCACUUGGGGGUAGAUCUGAAAAACCAGUCUGGACACGUCAGGUGAGUCAGCACGCGUGCUCUCCCGGUAUUCCCGAAUAUCUACGUAUACAAUAUUGGCGACGAGUGUAAAACAGUGUAAAAUUGCGUAAUAGUGCAUAAACAACAAAUUAAUAAUAUUUGUAAAGUGAAAAGUGCAAAAAUGGUGGUAAAGUUUGGUGAGUUUGAUGUAGCACAUGGCUGUUGGGAAAAUUACAUCACUAGGUUUGGGUACUGCCUGGAAGCCAGUGAAGUGAAGGAAGACGAGAAAAAGAAAGCGAAUUUACUUGCGGUAUGUGGCCCUGAUUUAUUUGAUUUAAUAUCGUCAUUGGUUGCUCCUAAAAAAAUAAGUGAGGUUACAUUUUCAACUAUAAAGACUUAUUUAGACAAUCAUUUCCACCCAAAGCCAAAUGAAAUAGUGGAAUCAUUUAAAUUUCACUCUAGAAAUCAAGAAGACGGGGAAAAAAUUAGAGAUUAUGUAGCAAGUUUGAGGAAAUUGUCAAUACACUGCAAUUUUGAGAAUGUCGACCGCACACUAAGAGAUCGAUUGGUAUGCGGGAUCAGAGAUAAAGAUAUUCAAAAGAAAAUGUUACAACAAACGAGUUUGACAUUUCAAUUGGCUUGUGAAAUUGCUUUGUCGCAUGAAUCUGCCAAUUGUGACUCUAACAUUAUCAUUUUACCUAAUACUAGUAAAGCUCCAACUCAAGUGUUUGAGGAACCCAUGGACAUUAAUAAAAUUUCAUAUAAAAAAAGUGAAAAACAAAAUUGUUUCCGGUGUGGUAAACAACACAAAGGAGAGUGUGAUUUAGAUGGGUAAAAUGUAAUUUUUGUGACAAAACGGGACAUAUUGAGGCAGUAUGUUUAAGCAAAAAGAAAAACAAUAACAUUAGGUCAGAAUCAAAUUGCAAUGGUUUAUAUGAAAUUCCAAUCAACAAUGUAAGACAAGCCCGGGUGCCUGCAUAUAUGGUCAAUAUAUCUCUCAAUGGUUGUAAUAUUGAAAUGGAGGUAGACUCGGGGUGUGCAUUUACAUUAAUCAGUGAACCGACUGCCAGACUCAUAUGGAAAAAUAAAUUACCACAGUUCAGUAAGAUAGACAUAUUGUUAAAAACAUGGACGGAUAACCAAUUGAACAUUCUUGGAAAAGUAUUUGUACCUGUCAAUUAUAAAGGAAUUGUUAAAAAUUUACCUGUCAUUAUAGCCAAGGGGCAAGGACCCAGCUUAAUAGGUAGGAAUUGGUUUAGUGAUUUGAAUAUUCAACUUGAGGGAAUAAAUAAUAUAAAAAUAGAUACACAAGAUGUUAAACACAUAUUGGAAAAAUAUAAGGAAUAUUUUGAAGAGGGUCUAGGUAAAUAUACUGGACCAAUUGUCAGUAUUACACUUAAAGAUGGGGCUACCCCAAAAUUUCUUAAGUGUAGACCUAUACCAUUUGCGCUAAAAGAGAGAGUGUGUGCUGAAAUAGACCGCUUGGUGGCACAGGAAGUGCUAGAACCUGUACCCCAUUCUGAUUGGGCUACCCCUAUUGUGCCCGUUUUGAAAUCAAACGGGGGGGUGCGGCUAUGUGGAGAUUACAGAUCAACAGUUAACAUGGCAACGGACACUGAUACAUAUCCACUGCCUACCCUAGAUGAAGCAUUCACACAUCUUCAAGGGGGGGUAGUUUUCAGAAAAAUUGACUUAGAACAAGCGUAUACACAAGUGCAAGUAGAUGAGCCUACAUCUUGUCUAUUGACACUUAAUACCCCUAAAGGUCUUUUCAAGGUAAAAAGACUUGCAUUCGGUGUCAAAGCAUGUCCAGGCAUUUUUCAGCGACUUAUGUCUUCCUUGCUAGCUGAUAUUCCUGGAGUGGCCGUACUAUUAGACGAUAUAGUGGUGAUGGGAACUAAUGUCAUGGAACACAAUAAAAGACUCAAUAUGGUUUUGAAGAAGUUACAACAUUUUGCUGAAUUAAGAGUUAAUAAAAAGAAAUGUCAAUUUCUGGCGAGAAAUAUAAAAUUUUUGGGUUAUAUGAUCGAUGAAUCAGGAGUACACCCAUGUAAAGAUAAAAUUCAGACCAUUGAAAACUUCAAAGCACCUCAUAAUGUUAAAGAGCUGCAAGCUUUUUUGGGGCUCUUAAACUUCUACGAUAGGUUUCUACCCCAUAAAGCUACUAUAGCCGAACCCCUAUACAAAUUGUUACAGAGUGACAUGAAAUGGCAUUGGAAUAGCGGACAUCAAAGGUCUUUUGAAAAGCUACGUACAAUGUUAACUAGUGAAGACACGCUGGUUCACUACGACCUCAAGAAAAAACUAUUAUUAACAUGUGAUGCAUCUCAGUAUGGGCUAGGAGCUGUAUUGGAACAUGAAAUGGAAGAUGGCACCGUUAGACCCAUCAUGUUUGCUUCUAGAACUAUGAAUGUUCAUGAAAGAAAUUAUGCACAAAUAGACAAGGAGGCAGCAGCGAUAAUAUUUGGGUUAAAAAAAUUUCAUCAGUUUAUAAGUGGCAGGAAGGUUGUGAUAAGGACCGAUCAUAAACCUUUGCUAGGAUUAUUUGAUCCAAAACGACCAAUCCCAAAUAUUAUUUCACCAAGAAUGUUAAGAUGGGCUCUAUUAUUAAAUUCAUAUGAUUAUCAAAUAGACUAUGUUCAGGGCAAGAAACUUGGAAAUGCUGAUGCUCUAAGCCGCUGGCCUUCUACAGACCAAGGCAAAGUGGAAGAAGAAUAUUCAGGGGUACUAUUUAUCGAAGAAACUCCACUUGAGUUAGAAUUCUCUGCAGAUGAAGUGGCAAAAUUGACGCUAAAGGAUCCAAAAUUAAGCAAAAUAUUAUAUUGGAUACGAAAUGGUUGGCCAAGUAAAGUAGAGACAGAAUACAAAGUAUUUUGGCAAAAACGAGAGGAAAUGUCUUCUUUUAAAAAUUGUAUUCUGUGGGGUAAUAGAGUAGUAUUGCCUGAAAAGAUGAGAGCAAAAGUAUUGGAGGAGUUGCAUUCGAACCAUGAUGGUAUCGUAAUAACAAAAGCUCUAGCUAGAAGCUAUUUUUGGUGGCCAGCUAUCGACAAAAAUAUAGAACAGAUGAUAAACCGUUGCAAUACUUGUGCAGAAAAUAGAAACAUGCCUAAGAAAGUUACACACAGUUGGAUAAGACCAGACAAGCCAUGGUCGAGGCUCCAUAUGGAUUACGCAGGACCUUUUCAAGGGAAAACUUUUUUCAUUCUAAUUGAUGCAUUUUCAAAGUGGCCAGAAGUGAAGAUUGUUCCUGAUAUGAGUAGUGGAACACUAAUAAAAACAUUACGAGAAAUAUUUACAGAACAAGGGCUACCUGACACAGUUGUGAGUGACAAUGGAAGAUCAUUCAUUUCUGAGGAGUUUCAAAACUACUGCAAAUCAAAUGGUAUAAGACAUGUUCUAGUUGCACCAUAUCACCCUGCCUCUAAUGGACAGGCAGAACACACUGUGCAAACCAUUAAAAAUAACUUUAAAAAACAAUCACCUGGAUCUUGGCAUAUGAAACUUACAUCAAUGUUAUAUGGCCUACGAACAACGCCAAACAGCACCAACGAUAAAACCCCGGCAGAAUUAUUAAAUAACAGACAUUUCAGAACCAAGUUUGACUACCUAAAUCCCCUUACUUUCAAAGAUAAACCACAGCUUGAAGAAUUGGAAGAAAAUGAAAGCAGGAAUGUGAGGUCAGUAAAGGUUGGACAAACUGUUUAUUUAAGGAAUUAUGGCAAAGGCCCCCAAUGGAUCAAAGGUGUGGUAGAGAAGAGAAUAGGAAUUUGUAGGUACUUAAUUCAAUGGAAUGGAAAAUUGCUAAAAAGACACAUAAACCAGAUUCAUCUAUUUGGGGAAGAGAAAGGUGAAACAGAACCAGAACAACAAAGAGAACAAAAUAAACUAAGGGAAGAUGAUGAUGAUGAGGAGGAGGAGACCAUAGUUAUACCCUCACCUUCAAAAUGGGCAGAUAUUAUAGGAGUAUCAGGGCCACAGGAUAUUGAUGCUACACGGAGGAUACAAUAUGAACAAACAGCACCUGAACAAUAUAAAAGGGCUCGCUCAGAAUCAGCAUCACCUCAACAGUCCCACAACAAAAAACCAAAUUUGGACUUAACACAUGAAGAUGAAGAGGAAGAUGAAGAUCUAGGAAGUGAAGUGGACGAUUAAUUUAAAUAGAAAAGUUAAUGCAUGUUAUAGUUGUUAAGAGGGAUGUGUUGUGUAAGUGUCAGUAAUAUAGACUAGUGAUAGAACUUAAAGACUAAAGUGAUAGUGAACUAUCCCGGGGGAAAGGCAUGUCAUGUACCCCACUUGGGGGUAGAUCUGAAAAACCAGUCUAGACACGUCAGUGGAAGGAUCGGAGUUUCAC